rnacentral:rRNA from 1 species
UACGGAGGGUGCAAGCGUUGCUCGGAAUUAUUGGGCGUAAAGGGUAGGUAGGUGGUCUCAUUUGUCUGGGGUGAAAGCCUUGAGCUUAACUCAAGAAGUGCCCCAGAAACGGUGAGACUCGAGUCUUGGAGAGGGUCGUGGAAUUCCCGGUGUAGCGGUGAAAUGCGUAGAGAUCGGGAGGAACACCAGAGGCGAAAGCGGCGACCUGGACAAGUACUGACACUCAACUACGAAAGCGUGGGGAGCAAACAGG